ensembl:misc_RNA Metazoa_SRP Metazoan signal recognition particle RNA
GCCGGGCGUGGUGGGGCGUGCCUGUAAUCCCAGCUACUCAGGAGGCUGAGGCAGGAGAAUCGCUUGAACCCAGGAGGUGGAGGUUGCAGUGAGCUGAGAUCACGCCAUUGCACUCCAGCCUGGGUGACGUAGCAAGAUUCUGCCUCAA